rnacentral:tRNA from 1 species
GGCUCGUUGGUCAAGUGAUUAAGAUACCGCUUUCUCAGAGCGGAGUCGUAGGUUUGAAUCCUGCACGAGUCACCA